rnacentral:rRNA from 1 species
AGCGUACACGGUGGAUGCCCUGGCAGUCAGAGGCGAUGAAGGACGUGCUAAUCUGCGAUAAGCGUCGGUAAGGUGAUAUGAACCGUUAUAACCGGCGAUUUCCGAAUGGGGAAACCCAGUGUGUUUCGACACACUAUCAUUAACUGAAUCCAUAGGUUAAUGAGGCGAACCGGGGGAACUGAAACAUCUAAGUACCCCGAGGAAAAGAAAUCAACCGAGAUUCCCCCAGUAGCGGCGAGCGAACGGGGAGCAGCCCAGAGCCUGAAUCAGUGUGUGUGUUAGUGGAAGCGUCUGGAAAGGCGCGCGAUACAGGGUGACAGCCCCGUACACAAAAAUGCACAUGCUGUGAGCUCGAUGAGUAGGGCGGGACACGUGGUAUCCUGUCUGAAUAUGGGGGGACCAUCCUCCAAGGCUAAAUACUCCUGACUGACCGAUAGUGAACCAGUACCGUGAGGGAAAGGCGAAAAGAACCCCGGCGAGGGGAGUGAAAAAGAACCUGAAACCGUGUACGUACAAGCAGUGGGAGCCUCUUUAUGGGGUGACUGCGUACCUUUUGUAUAAUGGGUCAGCGACUUAUAUUCUGUAGCAAGGUUAACCGAAUAGGGGAGCCGAAGGGAAACCGAGUCUUAACUGGGCGUUAAGUUGCAGGGUAUAGACCCGAAACCCGGUGAUCUAGCCAUGGGCAGGUUGAAGGUUGGGUAACACUAACUGGAGGACCGAACCGACUAAUGUUGAAAAAUUAGCGGAUGACUUGUGGCUGGGGGUGAAAGGCCAAUCAAACCGGGAGAUAGCUGGUUCUCCCCGAAAGCUAUUUAGGUAGCGCCUCGUGAAUUCAUCUCCGGGGGUAGAGCACUGUUUCGGCAAGGGGGUCAUCCCGACUUACCAACCCGAUGCAAACUGCGAAUACCGGAGAAUGUUAUCACGGGAGACACACGGCGGGUGCUAACGUCCGUCGUGAAGAGGGAAACAACCCAGACCGCCAGCUAAGGUCCCAAAGUCAUGGUUAAGUGGGAAACGAUGUGGGAAGGCCCAGACAGCCAGGAUGUUGGCUUAGAAGCAGCCAUCAUUUAAAGAAAGCGUAAUAGCUCACUGGUCGAGUCGGCCUGCGCGGAAGAUGUAACGGGGCUAAACCAUGCACCGAAGCUGCGGCAGCGACGCUUAUGCGUUGUUGGGUAGGGGAGCGUUCUGUAAGCCUGUGAAGGUGUGCUGUGAGGCAUGCUGGAGGUAUCAGAAGUGCGAAUGCUGACAUAAGUAACGAUAAAGCGGGUGAAAAGCCCGCUCGCCGGAAGACCAAGGGUUCCUGUCCAACGUUAAUCGGGGCAGGGUGAGUCGACCCCUAAGGCGAGGCCGAAAGGCGUAGUCGAUGGGAAACAGGUUAAUAUUCCUGUACUUGGUGUUACUGCGAAGGGGGGACGGAGAAGGCUAUGUUGGCCGGGCGACGGUUGUCCCGGUUUAAGCGUGUAGGCUGGUUUUCCAGGCAAAUCCGGAAAAUCAAGGCUGAGGCGUGAUGACGAGGCACUACGGUGCUGAAGCAACAAAUGCCCUGCUUCCAGGAAAAGCCUCUAAGCAUCAGGUAACAUCAAAUCGUACCCCAAACCGACACAGGUGGUCAGGUAGAGAAUACCAAGGCGCUUGAGAGAACUCGGGUGAAGGAACUAGGCAAAAUGGUGCCGUAACUUCGGGAGAAGGCACGCUGAUAUGUAGGUGAGGUCCCUCGCGGAUGGAGCUGAAAUCAGUCGAAGAUACCAGCUGGCUGCAACUGUUUAUUAAAAACACAGCACUGUGCAAACACGAAAGUGGACGUAUACGGUGUGACGCCUGCCCGGUGCCGGAAGGUUAAUUGAUGGGGUUAGCGGUAACGCGAAGCUCUUGAUCGAAGCCCCGGUAAACGGCGGCCGUAACUAUAACGGUCCUAAGGUAGCGAAAUUCCUUGUCGGGUAAGUUCCGACCUGCACGAAUGGCGUAAUGAUGGCCAGGCUGUCUCCACCCGAGACUCAGUGAAAUUGAACUCGCUGUGAAGAUGCAGUGUACCCGCGGCAAGACGGAAAGACCCCGUGAACCUUUACUAUAGCUUGACACUGAACAUUGAGCCUUGAUGUGUAGGAUAGGUGGGAGGCUUUGAAGUGUGGACGCCAGUCUGCAUGGAGCCGACCUUGAAAUACCACCCUUUAAUGUUUGAUGUUCUAACGUUGACCCGUAAUCCGGGUUGCGGACAGUGUCUGGUGGGUAGUUUGACUGGGGCGGUCUCCUCCUAAAGAGUAACGGAGGAGCACGAAGGUUGGCUAAUCCUGGUCGGACAUCAGGAGGUUAGUGCAAUGGCAUAAGCCAGCUUGACUGCGAGCGUGACGGCGCGAGCAGGUGCGAAAGCAGGUCAUAGUGAUCCGGUGGUUCUGAAUGGAAGGGCCAUCGCUCAACGGAUAAAAGGUACUCCGGGGAUAACAGGCUGAUACCGCCCAAGAGUUCAUAUCGACGGCGGUGUUUGGCACCUCGAUGUCGGCUCAUCACAUCCUGGGGCUGAAGUAGGUCCCAAGGGUAUGGCUGUUCGCCAUUUAAAGUGGUACGCGAGCUGGGUUUAGAACGUCGUGAGACAGUUCGGUCCCUAUCUGCCGUGGGCGCUGGAGAACUGAGGGGGGCUGCUCCUAGUACGAGAGGACCGGAGUGGACGCAUCACUGGUGUUCGGGUUGUCAUGCCAAUGGCACUGCCCGGUAGCUAAAUGCGGAAGAGAUAAGUGCUGAAAGCAUCUAAGCACGAAACUUGCCCCGAGAUGAGUUCUCCCUGACUCCUUGA